rnacentral:rRNA from 1 species
CUGAGUAGCCAUGUUCGGAAGGGAUAAGCGCUGAAAGCAUCUAAGUGCCAAGCCCCCCUCAAAAAUAGGUAUCCCUUCCCGACACCGUAAGGCGUCGGGAUGAAGGCUGGCCGGAGACUACGGCCUUGAUAGGCGCAGGGUGUAAGAUCCGUAAGGAUUUGAGCUGAUGCGUACUAAUAGCCAAUCGGCUUGACCAC